rnacentral:rRNA from 1 species
CUGGCUCAGGACGAACGCUGGCGGCGUGCCUAAUACAUGCAAGUCGAACGGUCUUUUCUAUGGAAGCUUGCUUCCACUGAGAAGAUAGUGGCGAACGGGUGAGUAACACGUGGGGUAACCUGCCCAUAAGAGGGGGAUAACAUCCGGAAACGGGUGCUAAUACCGCAUAGUUUUCUUGAUCGCAUGAUCGGGAAAGGAAAGACGGCCUUUGUGCUGUCGCUUAUGGAUGGACCCGCGGCGUAUUAGUUAGUUGGUGAGGUAACGGCUCACCAAGACGAUGAUACGUAGCCGACCUGAGAGGGUGAUCGGCCACAUUGGGACUGAGACACGGCCCAAACUCCUACGGGAGGCAGCAGUAGGGAAUCUUCCGCAAUGGACGAAAGUCUGACGGAGCAACGCCGCGUGAGUGAAGAAAAGGUUUUCGGAUCGUAAAACUCUGUUGUCAGAGAAGAACAAGUUGGAGAGUAACUGCUCCAGCCUUGACGGUAUCUGACCAGAAAGCCACGGCUAACUACGUGCCAGCAGCGGC